rnacentral:tRNA from 1 species
GGGGAUUUAGCUGAAAGGCACAAGCACCUGCCUCACAAGCAUGAGGUCAUGAGUUCAAUCCUCA